CUAAAAUGUAGAUAAUAACUAACUAACUCCGCUGGCGCAGCGACUCAAAGUGGAUCUUGGCCUCCGAAAUGAGCUUCCGCCAUUGAGCCCUGUCCUGCGCUACCUCCUGCCAGUUACUGACUUAAAGGUCACGCAGGUCAGCCUCAACAGCAUCUCUCCAGCGAUACCUGGGGCGUCCAACAGGACGAUGGCCUGUUGGACGGCCCUUAUACGCUCUUUUUACCCCGCGAUCCUCUCCCAUUCUUUCCACGUGGCCCAGCCAACGGAGUCGGUGAGCCUUUGUUUCUCCGAUUAUAUUGGGUUGGGCCACCAGUUCUUCAAUUUCGGCAUUCUU